ensembl:lncRNA
GUGUAUGUGUGUGUGUGUGUGUGUGUGUGUGUGUGUGUGUGUGUGUGUGUGUGUGUGUGUGUGUGUGUGUGUGUGUUUGUGUGCGUGCCUGUGUGUGUUUUGAUGGGCUGCUCAGCUUAAAGUGGAAGCGUAGAACUUGCAACACACUGUGAAUCACCGGGUGAGCCUGAAUAGCUGCUCUGUCAUUAAGAGUCACUGGGGAGAGGGUCUACUCUACGUGUUCUACUUCUACGCCUUCCCGUCCAUCUGUCAAGUCUGGAUUAAUGACUUCCAUUAGUUUCAAACUAAGCUUUUAUGAGGAACAACACAAAGGAUAUAACUUCUAAAGCCCUUCAUUAUCAAAGAGAAGGUCACACAACAACAAAGUGGUUCAGGUUUUUUGUUAAAGAAUUUGAUGCUGAAACGAAAGGUGCAUUGGUCAACAAUGCCUUUGUCAUCAAUCGCAGUAGCAACUGUAUACUAUGAGUAGUGUAGUAGUAGAAAUACCACUAGUACUAGGUUGUGUGUGCUACAUGUCUUCAAAGAGGAAAGAGGAAGAGAAUGCAGGUUGUGUAACGGUGUGUGCAUGUUUCUAUUGCACGUAUGUUCCCUAUGUGUGAUGAAUAUGUUUUAGAUGCGAGUUGAAUAUGUUUUAUUUGAGUUUGAUUGUGGUUCCAAUGCAUCUCAAUGCACAUUCUUUGUGUUGACAUUUCAAAUGCAUUUUCAGAACGAGCCAUAAAUCAGAAACAACAAAUCUAUGAAGCUGGUGGAAUGACUUAUGAGACAUUUAGUCGUUUUGUUAAUGAAUGACUUUACUAUGGUAAUAAGGGUCAUUAUUUGCUGGACUGUAGAAUGUAUUAGGAGAGGACAGAAGGAUGAAGAGAGAGAGAGAGAGAGAGAGAGAGAGAGAGAGAGAGCAUUACACAAACAACGCCUUCAAAGCGUCCGGGCUUCAAUUAAUCAAUUAAGGAAUGAAAGAACAAAUUAGCAUAUCCUCCCCCCCAUCCAUCCAUGUGUCUGUGAGAAAGGGGGGGGGGGGGGGGCGUCGCUGAGCAGGACUCUCCCAGGAAGAACAUACAUUGAAAUGAACAAAUGGAUUAGAAGAGAUAUCUUCGAUGAAUUAAUUAUGUUUUCUUAGAGGCAUAAUAAACCGUCAGCGAGGUUGCCAGGGUUACAAAUGACAAAAAGGGGUUUAAGACGCAAUGGACGGGGGCUAACCCUGGGGGGGGGAAUUCAUCAUAUCCAGAUAUGUAUCAUAUCGAGACAGAUAACCAUUCUCAUCUAAAGCCAUCUCUCCCCUUCACCGGGAAGGGGGAACUUUGUAAACAACUGCUAUGCAAAUGAGGCUGCCAAUGUAGCCUGUGUGUGUGCACGUGUGUGGGUGGCACGCACACACACACAACAAUGCAUGCCUUUACACACACACAGCACGCACGCACACACACACACACGCACGCACGCACGCACGCACGCACGCACGCACGCACGCACGCACGCACGCACGCACGCACGCACGCACGCACACACACACACACACACACACACACACACACACACACACACACACACACACAGAGACGCACGCACACACACCUGCUAAGAGGAAGCAUUUUCAUAUUUACGCUAAAUCAUUCAAGGAAGAAAGGUCCAUGCAAACACAGAAACAAACAGAAAAACACUGAAACCCUCAUACACACAGGCUCUGAUUGUGUGUGCUUUGCAUGGGGCCUCCUCUGGAACAUUGCUGCUAUCGACUGACUCCAAUGCGCUCGUUGGCCUUGCGCCACCCGACUACGUCUAUCCAGAGCUUCUUACCUGUUUCUGGAAGUCCCCUCACAAUGUAAUGAGAGCCAGAACCUUUCCCCUGUCAGCACUUCAGGGCGGAUCUGAAGAGGCCACGUAUCUCUCUCUCUCUCUCUCUCUCUCUCUCUCUCUCUCUCGAUAUGUGUGUCACGGUGUCACGGCACUCGAGAAAAUAGUAAGAAACACAGCAUCAGCUAAGAUAGCCACUAAGGUCAGAGACAGACCUGUUGAAGAGAAUUUCUGGAAGAGGGCAGGAAGAUACAUUCUACCAAGAAUGAGAAGAGAAGGAAUUAUUAUUAAAGCUAGAGCCUGAAGCCUAAGUGUUGUAUGUCCCAAUGUUGAAGGCUCUGAACUGUUGUGUUUGUGUGGGCUGAAGUCCAAGAUGUUUUUCAUUUUACAAUCUCACACGAUGAAAUACAAAAUCCUAUGCAAGAUAGAUAUACAAGAUAGAUUUAAGAGUGUGGGGUCAUGCAGGCCUGUCACACUUAAGAUGUCAGUGGUGUCCUUUCUCACCACGUUGUUGUUCCCACCCGGAGAACACGGUUCUGUACCUGUCAACAAGCUGGUCUGUGUGCAGUGUACUGCGUGCGUGUGCCUGUGGAUGUGUGAGUGCGUGCGUGUGUGUGCGUGUGUGUGUGUGUAUGUUUUGCCAGUACCCUGUAGCUGGGCAGCGAAGCGAGAUAUAGACACAGGAGGGGGACAGAGGAGGAGGGUGAGGGAUGGGAGGAGGGGAGAGGGACAGAGAGAGACUCGACGAAGUGUUGUGUCAGACGAGUACGUGGAACCUCCACCAGCAGCCAUCAUAGACAAGACG